CAAGGAUCGGCGAAGAGUGAUUUAUUGCAAUGAUGCAUCAACUGGUGCAACAAAAAGUCCAUCUCGCAGUGGUCCAAUCUGUUAUACCAAUAAUUGUGAACAAAAUGAAUGUAAAUAUGCGCAAAUUCCCCGACGACUGAGUUCAUUCUGUGCUGAAAGGAAGCAAGAGUUGGGCACAAUGUAAAAAUAUGGACUGGGAAUUGCCCAAGAAAAGUUCGCUUCUGCUACAGCAAAAAACUGAUUUAUAAAUAAACUUCUACGAAAUUGUAAGCUGACAUCAACAAACAGAGAAGAAAUCCAUGCUUACAAAAUGGCCAACAUAAGUCAAAAGUGCUGCCGCGACAAACCAAUGGCCUGGAAGCCAACAGGGACACCAGAAACCACAAUAGAUUUCUCCAAACAGAAGUGAAAAUCACCAUAAUGUUUUUACGCUGCUUGAAAGCAAAAUAAUAAGGCAUUUAAAUAUAAAAGCAAAAGUAAAGUACGUAAAGAUGUAGCAGAAGAAUUCCAUACCAGCGGGGGGAUUAAAAUACUGGAAUACUAUAAGAAUAUUCAAGACAGUUGAGACGGAUUAUUUCUCUCCAGUUGGAAUUUAAGAAACUGCAUUUUGUGAGCAUUACACUCAAAAUGCUCUUUUCAAUCUGGGAACAGAGUCAACAACUGUAGUCAACACUUUAAACGAUCGUUUAUCAACGUUUACGUUUUUUGGUUGUAAAAUAUAAUUUUCGGAGCAUCAAACAGCUGUCAAUCAUAAAAUUCAUACCCAAUAAACAAUAAAAAUUAAAAUGAACCGCAUAGUAA